UACGUAGGGGGCAAGCGUUGUCCGGAUUUAUUGGGCGUAAAGAGCGUGUAGGCGGCUAAAUAGGUCCGUUGUGAAAACUCGAGGCUCAACCUCGAGAUGCCGAUGGAAACCAUUUGGCUAGAGUCCGGAAGAGGAGAGUGGAAUUCCCGGUGUAGCGGUGAAAUGCGCAGAUAUCAGGAAGAACACCAACGGCGAAGGCAGCUCGCUGGGACGGUACUGACGCUGAGACGCGAAAGCGUGGGGAGCGAACAGG
rnacentral:rRNA from 1 species